AUGAACGCUGGCGGCGUGCCUAAUACCUGCAAGUCGAGCGAACAGACGAGGAGCUUGCUCCUCUGACGUUAGCGGCGGACGGGUGAGUAACACGUGGAUAACCUACCUAUAAGACUGGGAUAACUUCGGGAAACCGGAGCUAAUACCGGAUAAUAUAUUGAACCGCAUGGUUCAAUAGUGAAAGACGGUUUUGCUGUCACUUAUAGAUGGAUCCGCGCCGCAUUAGCUAGUUGGUAAGAUAACGGCUUACCAAGGCAACGAUGCGUAGCCGACCUGAGAGGGUGAUCGGCCACACUGGAACUGAGACACGGUCCAGACUCCUACGGGAGGCAGCAGUAGGGAAUCUUCCGCAAUGGGCGAAAGCCUGACGGAGCAACGCCGCGUGAGUGAUGAAGGUCUUCGGAUCGUAAAACUCUGUUAUUAGGGAAGAACAAAUGUGUAAGUAACUAUGCACGUCUUGACGGUACCUAAUCAGAAAGCCACGGCUAACUACGUG
rnacentral:rRNA from 1 species